rnacentral:rRNA from 1 species
AGAGUUUGAUCAUGGCUCAGAUUGAACGCUGGCGGCAUGCUUUACACAUGCAAGUCGAACGGGGUGAGGGGGCAACUCCUCAUCUAGUGGCGAACGGGUGAGUAAUGCAUCGGAACGUGUCCCGUAGUGGGGGGAUAACCCGGCGAAAGCCGGACUAAUACCGCAUAUGCUCUACGGAGGAAAGUGGGGGAUCCGCAAGGACCUUACGCUAUGGGAGCGGCCGAUGUCCGAUUAGCUUGUUGGUGGGGUAAUGGCCUACCAAGGCGACGAUCGGUAGCUGGUCUGAGAGGAUGAUCAGCCACACUGGGACUGAGACACGGCCCAGACUCCUACGGGAGGCAGCAGUGGGGAAUUUUGGACAAUGGGGGCAACCCUGAUCCAGCCAUGCCGCGUGCGGGAAGAAGGCCUUCGGGUUGUAAACCGCUUUUAGUCGGGAAGAAAAGGCACGGGUGAAUACCCCGUGUUUUUGACGGUACCGGCGGAAUAAGCACCGGCUAACUACGUGCCAGCAGCCGCGGUAAUACGUAGGGUGCGAGCGUUAAUCGGAAUUACUGGGCGUAAAGCGUGCGCAGGCGGUUCGUCGUGUCCGAUGUGAAAGCCCCGGGCUCAACCUGGGAAUGGCAUUGGAAACUGGCGGACUCGAGUGUGGCAGAGGGGGGUGGAAUUCCGCGUGUAGCAGUGAAAUGCGUAGAGAUGCGGAGGAACACCGAUGGCGAAGGCAGCCCCCUGGGCUAACACUGACGCUCAGGCACGAAAGCGUGGGGAGCAAACAGGAUUAGAUACCCUAGUAGUCC